rnacentral:rRNA from 1 species
GAUGAACGCUGGCGGCGUGCCUAAUACAUGCAAGUCGAGCGAACGGACGAGAAGCUUGCUUCUCUGAUGUUAGCGGCGGACGGGUGAGUAACACGUGGAUAACCUACCUAUAAGACUGGGAUAACUUCGGGAAACCGGAGCUAAUACCGGAUAAUAUUUUGAACCGCAUGGUUCAAAAGUGAAAGACGGUCUUGCUGUCACUUAUAGAUGGAUCCGCGCUGCAUUAGCUAGUUGGUAAGGUAACGGCUUACCAAGUCAACGAUGCAUAGCCGACCUGAGAGGGUGAUCGGCCACACUGGAACUGAGACACGGUCCAGACUCCUACGGGAGGCAGCAGUAGGGAAUCUUCCGCAAUGGGCGAAAGCCUGACGGAGCAACGCCGCGUGAGUGAUGAAUGUCUUCGGAUCGUAAAACUCUGUUAUUAGGGAAGAACAUAUGUGUAAGUAACUGUGCACAUCUUGACGGUACCUAAUCAGAAAGCCACGGCUAACUACGUG